rnacentral:rRNA from 1 species
GACGAACGCUGGCGGCGUGCUUAACACAUGCAAGUCGAACGGAAAGGCCCUGCUUUUGUGGGGUGCUCGAGUGGCGAACGGGUGAGUAACACGUGAGUAACCUGCCCUUGACUUUGGGAUAACUUCAGGAAACUGGGGCUAAUACCGGAUAGGAGCUCCUGCUGCAUGGUGGGGGUUGGAAAGUUUCGGCGGUUGGGGAUGGACUCGCGGCUUAUCAGCUUGUUGGUGGGGUAGUGGCUUACCAAGGCUUUGACGGGUAGCCGGCCUGAGAGGGUGACCGGCCAGAUUGGGAAUGAGAUACGGCCCAGACUCCUACGGGAGGCAGCAGUGGGGAAGAUUGCACAAUGGGCGGAAGCCUGAUGCAGCAACGCCGCGUGCGGGAUGACGGCCUUCGGGUUGUAAACCGCUUUCGCCUGUGACGAAGCGUGAGUGACGGUAAUGGGUAAAGAAGCACCGGCUAACUACGUG